GGAAUCUCAGCAAGCUGUGGCAUUUUUAGCUUCACACAAUCCUGAGAUGAAAGGUUUGGAAAGAGGCUCAGAAGGUUUUUUAACUUUCAGAGGAUCAAGUCAUGGCCAAGGCAGGCUCCUCAAGGUCUGGGAAACUGUACUCAACACGACAUGCAUGGAGACAGUUGGUUUUUAUCACCACCAUCAGGCAAUUGAGAUCACCAUGCCUCUACCAGCCCAGCUGAGAUGAUUCUCAAGAGUCUCCCUGAAGUACCUCACAGGGAUAGAGGCUGUACCCUGCAUGGAUUUCCAUGAGUUCCAGAACCGCAGGGAGAGACGACCAGCACAUGGAGUGAUGAAAGAAUGUUAGAAGUUGGUCUUGCUUGAGGUAAUGUAAAUACAGCAUUCAAGUAUCAUGAGACUGAAGCACUUUCCUUCUUUAAUAGUAAAGCUGAAAAAAUCUGUCUAUCUGGAAGAGAGGAAGCAAACAUUCAGUUGCCUCAUGUGAUCAGCCUACCAAUCUCUACUGACCUGACAAGAAGCUUACUCUGAGGUUGACUGCAAAGACAGCUGGCAGCAGCUAUCUUUCCAGAGCUGAUAUGUGCUAAAAACUGGUCAGUCUGUGGGCAAAUUUAAAUAAAAAGGAACAUUGAAAUUAA